UCCUUAAUUCGAUAUCUUAUUAAUACUAGUUUUAUUCUAGCAACGGCUUUAAUACGACCUUCUAUUAAUACUAGUUUUUAUUCAGACAACGUACAAAAUUUAACCACUUUAUAAUACCAGUUUUUAUUCCGCGCACGGCUAUAAUACGACCUUCUAUUAAUACUAUUUUUUUAUUUGGACAACGUUCAAAAUUUAACCACUUUAUAAUACCAGUUUUUAUUCCGCGCACGGUUUUAAUACGACCUUCUAUUAAUACUAGUUUUUAUUUGGACAACGUUCAAAAUUUAACAUCUUUAUAAAACCAGUUUUUAUUCCACGCACGGCUUUAAUAUAACCUUCUAUCAAUACUAGUUUUUAUUCGGACAACGUCGUCCAAAAUUUGAACUUGCUAUUUUUAAAUGGCUAUUUCAGGUAACGGCCAACACCAAUACAUACAUUAUAUAUUAUAAUUACUAUUACUGCAAAAUAACUUAGUUGUUUUUAAAUUAUUAUUACAUUAGAACGUUACACGGUUUCUUUGAAUAGAAUGUAAGUUUUAAACGUCAACUAGGAAAGUAGGAGAUGAUUCUCGACUAUAUAACACAGCGUUUGUCAGUCAAACGAUAUCAGUUCAGCUUGUGUUCUCCACCAGCAGCAACAGGCGACAGACAUUCACCGUAAACAUCAUCAGCAUAAUCAAAAAAAAUAUUUCAAUCCUUCAAAGUUGACCAGUCAAGCACCAGCAUCAUCAACAGAGAUGACAUUCGUCACUGAAAAUUGGAAAAUACUUUAACCGUACAGCUAUCUAUAAUAAAAAAAAAUGGAAUCAAAAUCAUUCAUUAUGGAUAAAAUUAACGAGGUAAUUCAAAAGGCUGAGAAAAAUGACCGAGAAAUGAAUGAAAAAGCAAUGGAACUU